AACGGCCCCGCUGCGACGGGAGCGCGGCCGCCGCGGGAGGCCGGGCGGGAGGAGACCCAGGCGCGGCGGCGGCGGCGGGGCGCCGGGGACACGGGCAGCGUGCGGGGAGCGGCCGCGGGGCUGCCGGUGCCCCCCGGCCGGCCGGGCGCGUUCCUUCCCAGCGGUGUUUGUGCGCCAAAGGCUGCUGCGUUCAGCCUUCCCGUCUCCGGACGUGAACAGUCACUUGUGUUUUGCUGCGGCUGUGACACGCGGCUCCCAGCACUGUGCUCACAGGCUCGGAACCUGAAUUCAUCCCCUUUGUCCGUGAGGAGGAGAAAGAGGAGGAGAGGGACCUGAAGAAGAGUUUGGGAGGUGCAGAAUUCCCUUUUCAUGUCAACACAGAAUCUGAAUGGUUGGAGAGGACCUUGAAUGAUCACCCAGUGCAACUCCCUGCCAGAGCAGGACCACCAAGAGUAGGUCACACAGGAACUCAUCCAGCAUCACAGAAUCUCAAGAAUUGGAAGGGACCUCAAAAGCUCAUCCAGUGCAACCCACCUGCCAGAGCAGGACCACCUGGAGUAGGUCACAGAGGAACUCAUCCAGUUCCUCACACACAGCUUACACACAGACCUUCUAAGCCCUCCAACUUCUGGGAACCCUCUGGAAAUCUGUCACAGGUGGAUGCAAGCCAACAAGGAGAAGGAUGCAGCUGGACCUUUUGCUAACAAAUAAAGAAGAUCUUGGGUAUGUGAA